GCUGAUCGGACACUAAAAGUUCAGUCGGUCGGUGUGUGAGAAAUACAGCUGUUGCAGAAAACCAGACGAGAGAUGGAUGGACAAACCAGGACAAAUGACGGGGAAAACGACUGAUUUCACUCCAGCAGAUGAAGUCUGAGAGCCGCACACGAUGCGAGGAUUCAGCGCCAGCGAUUUGUCUCCAGCAGCGCUGCAGUGCUCCUGUGGAUCUGUAGAGCAGCCUCAGAAGAAGAAAACCCCGCCUCCUCCCAGGCCAUGCCCCGCCCAGCACACACCGAGGCCAUGCCCCACUCCCUCAGCCACGCCCAGAGCACAGAAACCCCACGUGCCCCCUAAGCCUGUGCACCUGCUCGGUCCUGUCCCUCCAGUGCCCCGCCGACCCCUGCCCAGUCCCCCUCUGAGAGCCAGAGUCCCGUCUGCAGGACCCAUCCACAGCUCCAGGUAAGAGCUGAGCAUCGUCUGUGUGUCAUACUGUGUGAGCUGAGACUCGGAUUAGAGAUG
rnacentral:lncRNA from 1 species